rnacentral:tRNA from 1 species
GGUCGUGUGGUCCAGGGGCAAGACAGGAGCCUGCAAAGCUCUUAACGGCGGUUCGAAUCCGCCCACGGCCU